AUUACUUUGACGUCCGCUGUUGUGGUUCAGCGGGAGCUUUGCAGCGCUCCGUUGUCUGGUGAAUAGAGCUUUGAUUGAUGCCUGUAUUUAUGCAGUCAGAGGCGUGGGAGGAGACCGGUGAACACAAUGCUGCCUGCUGAUGCCCUUAAACAUCCAGCUGCCUGACUGACUCAUGCAGAGAGAUUAAGAGAGCACGUUGAAGUACUGUCUUGACUGCUGUCAACCUGACGCAGAGUCAGCUUUGGGGACGAUCAUUCAAUCUGUUGUAUUAAUAAUGAUAAUUAUCACCGCUUGCUUUUAAUAUAGCGCCCUCUGCAGGUCAAAGGUCGUUAAAACAUCAUCAGACGGACGUUAAGCAAACACACACCACUCACAUGAUGUAGAAGCAUCAAGGGAAACACGAAAACACGGUGAAUGUGACAACGACGAGAUUGGAGAAGCCACUGACAAUAUAAUUAAAGUGCAAUUGUUGUUUUUAAGGAUGGAUUCUCUUCUGAUCUGAGACUGUGGACAGAGAACUCAGCAGCAGCUCGGCGAUUUAUAUACACGUCUGCAACCCAGAGAACCUACGGAGACGUUUGUCUCCAGGCGUUUCCUCCUCGUGUGAAGCCUCCAGAACCAACCUUCUCCAGUUCUGCAGACCCAGUGAGUGAGCGGCCGUCCUCCAGGCGUUACAGCAGCCGACCCCAGCUGUGGCAGCUGCAGCGCAUGUCCACGGUCGGGUCACAUCCCCCUGUGCUGGUCAGGACUCUGGUCCAACACGCUGUAAAUGUUCAAGCCCGCUCUGAAGCUGAAGCGUUGCCGCGCGUUCGCAGCGGCGCGAUCGGCUCCGAGAGCACGGACGACGUGGACGACAGGGACGCAGAUUUCCACCCGCUGACCCUGAAGAGGAGCCUCGUGCCCCCGUACACCCUCACGUCACGGUGAGACACACCAGAG
rnacentral:lncRNA from 1 species